rnacentral:misc_RNA from 1 species
GUGGAAGCUGCAUGUCUCCAUGAAAUCAGGGUACUGGAUCAACGCCAUUCUCCAGAACAGUUCUCUAAACAGACAUCACUUACAGCGCAGCCUUUGAUUCUACCAUGGAUUCUUUACUUUUCAUUUAUAUGUUUUAUACAGAAGAUUUUUAAUGCAGUUCGAUUCUGAAUGUAAUUCAUGUCGAUACUUUUAUGCUGGGAACUUUCCUAGGACUUCUUUUAUUGUUGAUUUUGUUUUAAAUCCUUUGUCUGCCAUCACUGUUAAGCGUUAUUGAAGCAGUAUUAUGAUUUGAAUAUCAUAGAGAUAUUUGAGGAUUUUGUAUGAAGUUAAGUAUCAAUCAUUGUACAAUAACAUGUACUGUAUUAACAUUCUCUUAUUUCAUAGCCUGUUGAUAUAGAUGCUGUAGUAUAAAGACAUUCAGGAAUAAUAAAAAAAUAAUAACUGUGUAACACGGUACAAGGGACAUUCUAUAUACUGCUUGCUGUGUAAUACAUGUAACUAUGAUAUUAAUUUUUUAAGGUCAUCAUUCUCUAACAAGGCUUAUUCUGCAGCAUUACAUGAAAUCUCUAUGUAGACCUUCCCUCGGUAACUUGACUAUACAGCAUUAUAACAAACUAUAUGUAGAUCUGCAUUUAGAGUCAAAUGACCAAAGAUAACGAUUGUAAAGUCCACUCAUAUUUCCUUGUUAACAUGAACUUAUUUAUUUACAACUGUUGGAGAUCAACCAUAUCUAUGUAUGUAUUCUUUUUAUAUCAAGUUUAAACUUUUAUUUUAUUUAGUUUAUUUUGUGUUUAAAAUUUUUUAUAUGAAGAAUUUUACUCUACACUUUUACUGAUUUACCCUGUGCUUUUAAUGGCAUUGUUUCUAUUCACAUAAUCAAAUUCAACUUUUAUGACAUCAAUUUAUCAAUUUUAAUUGCUGUUUUUUUCUAUGUAAUUCUCAAGACAAUAAACACUUUUUCAAGAUGAACGAGAGAAACUGUAUUUGUUAUACGAUGACUUCUGAACAGUUUUUUGUUUAAAUAUUGUAAUAAUUGACUAGAAAAGUACUGAUGAUAUUAAAAAAAAAAAAAAAAAGGAUAAAACUUCUCAUUUUGAGUCAUCUCAAAGUCUAAAUUUGGUAGUCGUUUAAAUAUUUUAAUUUUUGCAUUUGACUUGAAAUACAUGUAUAUGCCUAUAAAUUUUAUUACCUAAAAGUAUGCUUCCAUGAUUUCUAUGGGGUGAUCGGACCGCAUCACCUCUCUACAUAUUGUGUGUACCCGGUAGUUUUCUUUUACUAUAUAUGUAUGUAAAAUGUUGUGAUAAUUGAUUCUUGUACAUCUUUUUAUAGAAUAUUAAAUAAUUGCUUCGU